ACCCUUCAAAAUCCUCACCCAUCAGAUCUAAACAUUGGUCUGAGUGGCUCUAAAAGGAGGAAAAGUAAAACGGAAAUGGAUUUGGACUCUUUUGUGGCAUACAAGUUUGGUCCAAAAAGACAGAC
rnacentral:snoRNA from 1 species